GCGGCUCUCCUACCACGAGGCGCACCGCCUCUCCUUCCCGCGCGUUCUCUCUCGUGUCCGCUCGCGCGGUCUCCGGCUGCAAUCGCAUCCGCGCUGAUUGAGGGCUGCGGGGCUGCCUUCGGUGAGCGCGGCCGUGGGGGUCGGACUCUGAGAGGUCUCCUUUUGCGAGCAAACCUGCCGGGUGCCUCUUUUAAGGACGGCAGGAGUCGUUACGGUUCACCAUCGGACCUCGGAUCUAGAAGGCUGGAGAGCUUAGAAGUUUGAGCACGGAGUAGGAUGAAGAAUACUGUACUGAGCAUUGCAGUCAAUUGCAUUUUGCCAUCCAGAGAUUGUCAAACAAGGCUUAAGGAUUUCUUUUGAAAGGAAAAACUUCUGAGAAGCCUUUAGAUGAACAAACUUAUAUGAAGCAAUUGCCCCCUUUUUAAAAAAGGGGCCACUUUGAAAACAGCCACCAUCUCCUAAGUGAAGAAACUGCACUGUGGGAUGAGGUAGUAGGUUGUAUAGUUUUAGGGUCAUACCCACCACUGGGAGAUAACUAUACAGUCUACUGUCUUUCCUAAAGAGGCAGACGGUCAUCCAUGACAUCUGUAUUACUUUGGUACUGGAAGUAUGGUUAAAUAUGAAGGCAUUGCAGUAGUUCCCAGAACAGUAAGCUGGUUGAAUUAUUCAGUGGGCACACUUUGCAAGACGUGUGGGCUCAGAGAGUUGGAUCCCAAGAGCCAUGAGCAGAAAGAAGCUUAUGGAAGGGACUAUCUUUUUACCUCCACACUCAUGCCCAAUAAAGAGCCUUUGAGGUGAUUGCAGAUCCUCCUGAAUAGUUAAAGGAACUUGAUGAGAAACAGGUAUCAUAUGGAAUCAGGUGAAAGCACCUUUUGGAUGCAAGUUCUGCUUGCAGAAGGUGCCUCUGGCCUAUCUUCCUUUCCCCAAUAAUCCUGCUGCCCUUAGACAGUUUAGGAAGGUUGCUUGACCAUCCAGACAGGCUUUUCAUGGUGUGUUUGUUUAUUUCCAGCCUGUUUUCCCAGCUCUUCAUAGAAAAAGCUCCCCCAGAGUAUGUUACUAUUAAUCUUUCUAAGCAAAUCUCUGCCCUUGGGCUCAUAAUCUGAAAGUUACAAUAUAUAGUUAAACAUGAUGUAGUGAUGGCCAAUUUGGACAGCUUUCAAAAGAGAUUGGACUAAUUCACGGAGAAUAAGUCUAUCAAUGGCUACUUGUCCUGAUGACUUGGUAUCAGAGGCAGUAUGCCUGUGUACACCAGUUGUUGUGAAUCAUAGGCAGGAGCAUACUAUUGUACUCAUGCCCUGCUUAUGGGAUUCUGUGGGCAAUGGCUAGCCACUGUAUUAACAGAAUGCUGGACUAGAUAGACCAUUGCUGUGAUAUAGAAUGGCUGUUAUGCUCAAAAAGUAAAGAGGUUAAAAGGAAGAAGCAAAAAAGCAAAACAUGGGCACCAGAUAGGAGGAGAAAGGUGUUAAGUCCCUUUCAGUGAGUGGCUCUCAGGAUCCAACCCAAAAAGCAGAAUUUAGAACUAAACAGAUUUCUCUUAUCAGGUUGAGGUAGUAGAUUGUAUAGUUGUAGGGCAGUUAUUUUGCCCUCUUCAGGAGAUAACUAUACAAUCUAUUGCCUUCCCUGAGGAGUAAAAUUUCUGCAGUAUUCUACUUAGUGAAUUACUAGCAACCUUGGCUUCUAAUGGUCAAUAAAUGUGUUGGUUUUCAUAGAAGAACUGUAACUAAAUGCUGUUUUGUAUUUCAGCAUUAAAUUAAUAUGUCAGCAUGAAAAAAUACUAGGCAGGGGAGGCCAUAUUUCAGUAGAGAUAUUCUUAACUUCUGAUACUUGCAUAGUGAAGAACUCUGGUCUACUGUUUUAUGAGGACAACCAUCUCAUUGAUGUAAUCUCGUAUUUUCUACCAGCAUGUAAACCACAUACAAAUGAUUGCAAAGGUCAUUCCAAUUACUCCUCUGAAGGAUAUACCUUCUCUCUUGAUGAAUGAGGUGGGUGUGAUAGGUUUGUGUAUUAGUUCACUGUCAACUGAGGAGUCUGCUAUUUGCAAGAAUGUACCAUUUGGUUUUAGUGAAGCUGAAAUUGUAAAAGUAUAAUUUGCUUUGUUUUUAGGUUGAAUAUUUCUGUUAUGAAAAUUGAACACUGUGUUCUGUUCAUAAUUAUGUAGUACAUGUUUCACUUUUGCACUUACAUAAACAUGCUUUUUGAUACUGAUAUUUGAUAUACUUUGAUGUCUGCAUAAAGUUGGUCUUGUACUACAGCUACAUUUUUUUUAAAGAAUUGCAGAAGAAGUGGUGGGUUCCUAGGAAGAGGUAGUAGGUUGCAUAGUUUUAGGGCAGUGGUUUUGCCCACAAGGAGUUAACUAUACAACCUGCUGCCUUUCUUAGGGCUUUAAUAUUACAACAGGAUCUCACUGGUUCAUUUUAAAUCUUCCUCUGCCAGGCUUCUGUACAGUGUUUUCAGGAUGCUUUUAGAAAUGCUUUGUCCACUGGCCUGAGUACAACAAAUCAUGUGGGAAUAUCAUAAACUAUGCUAUAGCUAAUGGAACUGUAUUGUUCACUCACUUGCUAAGAGAUGUGUGAUACAGGGUAUUUAAAAAAUACAUAUCUACAGUAGGUGGGGAAGAGUGGUAAUUCUGAAGUCUGCUUUAAAGCCUAGGACAAAGGUGCUACUUGCUCUUGUACGUUAAAAGCUAUAUAAUAAAGCAAGCUUAAACUAAA